rnacentral:rRNA from 1 species
ACGCUCGACACCUACGGGAGCAGCAGUCGGGAAUAUUGCGCAAUGGAGGAAACUCUGACGCAGUGACGCCGCGUAUAGGAAGAAGGUCUUCGGAUUGUAAACUAUUGUCGUUAGGGAAGAAAAAGGACAGUACCUAAGGAGGAAGCUCCGGCUAACUACGUGUCAGCAGCCGCGGUAAUCUGAGCGGGCUGGCAAGGC